GCUAGCGGCAGGCCUAAUACAUGCAAGCUGAACGGUAAAUAUUGUAGCAAUACGAUAUGAGAGUAGCGUAAGGGUGCGUAACACGUAUGCAAUCUGCCCGCAACAGGAGGAUAGCUCCCCGAAAGGGGAAUUAAUACUCCAUAAGAUCACGAGAGGGCAUCUGAUUGUGAUUAAACUCCAAGGGGUUGCGGAUGAGCAUGCGUCUGAUUAGUUAGUUGGUGAGGUAACGGCUCACCAAGACGAUGAUCAGUAGGGGAACUGAGAGGUUGAUCCCCCACACUGGCACUGAGAUACGGGCCAGACUCCUACGGGAGGCAGCAGUAGGGAAUAUUGGUCAAUGGGUGAGAGCCUGAACCAGCCAUGCCGCGUGCAGGAAGAAAGCCUUCUGGGUUGUAAACUGCUUUUGCCAGGGGAUAAAAUACCCAUGCGUGGGGAAUUGAAGGUACCUGGUGAAUAAGCCACGGCUAACUACGUGCCAGCAGCCGCGGUAAUACGUAGGUGGCAAGCGUUGUCCGGAUUUAUUGGGUUUAAAGGGUGCGUAGGCGGUCUUAUAAGUCAGUGGUGAAAUACGGCAGCUUAACUGUCGAGGUGCCAUUGAUACUGUAGGA
rnacentral:rRNA from 1 species